rnacentral:snRNA from 1 species
CCUCAAGAUGCUAAGGUGGCU